UCCCUGUUACCAGGGCAGUCUGAUUAGAAAAAUUCAACUAAUCACAAGGGUUGCGCUCGUUGAUGGACUUAACCAAACAUCUCACGACACGAGCUGACGACGGCCAUGCAUCACCUGUCACUUGGUUCUAAAAGCACAUUUUCCUUUCGGAAAACUUCCAAGGAUGUCAAACCUGGGUAAGGUUCUUCGCUUACCAUCGAAUUAAACAACACACUCCACCGCUUGUGCGGGUCCCCGUCAAUUCCUUUAUGUUUUAGUCUUGCGACCGUACUCCACAGGCGGGAUGCUUAACGCGUUAGCUUCGCUACAUCCGGGGUCGAUACCGGAUACAGCUAGCAUCCAUCGUUUACGGCGUGGACUAC
rnacentral:misc_RNA from 1 species